ensembl:lncRNA
GGCAUCACCAACUCAAUGAGCAUGAGUUUGAGCAAGUUCCAGAGAUGGUGAAGGACAGGGAAGCCUGGUGAGCUGCAGUCCAUAGUGUUGCAAAGAGUCAAACACGACUGAGCAACUGAACAACAACUGAGUAACUCCACUGAGCUGGCCUGUCUGCCUCCUCACUCUCAGGGAAAACCAAAGUGAAUGAAAAAGAAAAUGAGAUGGGAGUUUAGCACAUCGACACCAACUAGUUCUACUAAACUUGAAAUGAUGUGAUGGAUUUUGCUGAAGAAGGCAGCGUAUACUACAUACUUUUGACCAUAAAACUAACAGUGUAAUUACAGAAAGAUUGUUAAGCAUAUACACACACUUUGUUGAUUUUUGCAUACAUACAAAAGUCCUGCAAAAAACCUUGAUUUUUUUCCAAGAUUUUGAAAAAACACAACAGGAUGAGUUUGGUAUGGAAGGGUAGGUAAAGCCCAUAAGCAAAACAACUGUGCUUUUCAAUGCAACAGUGUUAAACUUCUGUUCUUACCAGUGAAUUAAUCAUGUUGCUGAAGAAUUGAUUUGGCACAAAGGAGUUAUAUAUUGCCACAGUACUCUGAAGGUGCAGAAAUUAUCCCAUCUAUAACUAAGCCUAUUGGAAUUGCUUGUGUGUGCUGUUUCGCAAUAAAGAAAUUCAUCAUUCAUCAGCAAAAUACGGGGUGAGAAAACAGGAAGACAAAACAAAUUGGGUGGAUAUAAAGUUACCUUGGCAUAUAGAGAGUUCAAGUGAGGCAUUUCUCUGAAAUGGAAAAUGAAAAGAUGUUUAUGGGCAGAUCCUAUUAAUAUUUCUAUAUGCUGAGUAGUUUUAUCAUUUAGCAAAAUGGCUGUCUGGGGAGGCCUUACAAAUAGCUGCGAAAGGAAGAGAAGCCAAAAGCAAAGGAGUAAAGGAAAGAUAGAAGCAUCUGAAUGCAGAGUUCCAAAAAACAGCAAGGAGAGGUAAGAAAGCCUUCCUCAGCGAUCGGUGCAAAGAAAUAGAUGAAAACAGCAGAAUGGGAAAGACUAGAAAUCUCUCCAAGAAAAUUAGAGAUACCAAGAAAACAUUUCAUGCAAAGAUGGGCUCGACAAAGGACAGAAAUGGUAUGGACCUAACAGAAGCAAAAGAUAUUAAGAAGAGGUGGCAAGAAUACACAGGAGAACUGUAAAAACAGAGAUUCAUGACCCAGAUAAUCACGAUGGUGUGAUCACUCACCUAGAGCCAGACAUCCUGGAAUGUGAAGUCAAGUGGGCCUUAGAAAGCAUCACUACAAACAAAGCUAGUGGAGGUGAUGGAAUUCCAGUGGAGCUAUCUCAAAUCCUGAAAGAUCAUGCUGUGAAAUUGCUGCACUCAAUAUGCCAGCAAAUUUGGAAAACUCAGCAGUGGCCACAGGACUGGAAAAGGUCAGUUAUCAUUCCAAUCCCAGAGAAAGGCAAUGCUAAAGAAUGCUCAAACUACCACACAAUUGCACUCAUCUCACAUGCUAGUAAAGUAAUGCUCAAAAUUCUCCAAGCCAGGCUUCAGCAGUACAUGAACUGUGAACUUCCAGAUGUGCAAGCUGGAUUGAUAAAAGGCAGAGGAACCAGAGAUCAAAUUGCCAACAUCCGCUGGAUCAUGGAAAA